rnacentral:rRNA from 1 species
UACGAAGGGGGCUAGCGUUGCUCGGAAUCACUGGGCGUAAAGCGCACGUAGGCGGAUUGCUAAGUCAGGGGUGAAAUCCUGGAGCUCAACUCCAGAACUGCCCUUGAUACUGGCGGUCUCGAGUCCGGGAGAGGUGAGUGGAACUGCGAGUGUAGAGGUGAAAUUCGUGAGAUAUUCGCAAGAACACCAGUGGCGAAGGCGGCUCACUGGCCCGGUACGUGACGCUGAGGUGCGAAAGCGUGGGAGCGAACCGG